UUGGGGGUGUGGCUCAGGAGUGGUAGAGUGUCUGCCUGGCAUGCAGAAGGCCCUGGGUUCCAUUCCCAGCACCAAAA